rnacentral:rRNA from 1 species
CAGUAGCCGCGGUAAUACGAAGGGUGCGAGCGUUAAUCGGAAUUACUGGGCGUAAAGCGUGCGCAGGCGGUUUGUUACGACAGAUGUGAAAUCCCCGGGCUUAACCUGGGAACUGCAUUUGUGACUGGCCGGCUAGAGUAUGGCAGAGGGAGGUGGAAUUCCACGUGUAGCAGUGAAAUGCGUAGAUAUGUGGAGGAACACCGAUGGCGAAGGCAGCCUCCUGGGCCAAUACUGACGCUCAUGCACGAAAGCGUGGGGAGCAAACAGGAUUAGAUACCCCCGUAGUCCCUGUCUCUUAUAC